CUCCCUCAAAAAAGGAAAUAUUAAGAGGAGAGGGAGGUCUUCCUCAAAAAAGGAAAUAUUAAGAGGAGAGGGAGAUCUCCCUCAAAAAAGGAAAUAUUAAGAGGAGAGGGAGGUCUCCCUCAAAAAAGGAAAUAUUAAGAGGAGAGGGAGGUCUCCCUCAAAAAAGGAAAUAUUAAGAGGAGAGGGAGGUCUCCCUCAAAAAAGGAAAUAUUAAGAGGAGAGAGAGGUCUCCCUCAAAAAAGGAAAUAUAAAGAGGAGAGGGAGGUCUCCCUCAAAAAAGGAAAUAUUAAGAGGAGAGGGAGAUCUCCCUCAAAAAAGGAAAUAUAAAGAGGAGAGGGAGAUCUCCCUCAAAAAAGGAAAUAUUAAGAGGAGAGGGAGAUCUCCCUCAAAAAAGGAAAUAUUAAGAGGAGAGGGAGGUCUGCCUCAAAAAUGGAAAAAUAAAGAGGAGAGAGAGACUUCCUUCCAAAAAGGACUAAAAAGAUGAGAGGGAAGUCUCCCUCCACAAAGAAGGUACAGAGGAAGGAGAAGAAAGCCUCUCUCCAAAAAGGAAUAAGAAGAAGAGAGGGAAGUCUCCUUCCAGAAGGAAGGAACAGAACGAGGAAAGGGAGACUUCUCCAAAAAGGAGUACAAAGAACACUUUUCCUUUUCUUAAUUCAUUUCACACUUCAUUAAUUUAUUGAUCAUUUUACUUUUAAGUUGUUUUUUCAUCGUGACCUGGCUCCCUUUUUCUUCCUUUUAUUUAUCGUCUUAUAUUUGCCUGCCCCGGACAACUACUUUACCGCGCCUAUUUGUGUCUUCUUUUUCCUUUUAUAUGUAUAUUUUUCGUUGUCCUUUGGUUUCUUUUGGGAGCUUCGUUCCAUUUUCUCCUCGUCCUCGGAAACUAAUGGACGGCUUUGCACACGCAAGGAUUAACUUUUUCCAACUUAAUGGAAACAUGAAUUAUUCCUCGCGGCUUAUCGUUGUGUUCGUCAUUCCGUUCCUGCCGGCGGUGACGUCAGCUCCUUUUCUCAACCAAAUUUCUUUCAUUGACUCGAUUAUAAACUCUUCCGCGGUGAGAAGUGGCUUGAUUAACACAGACUAAGGGCUACAUUUUCAGUUCGACGUGGUGGGUUAGCAAGCCCCCAAACCAAUACCAAAGACUUCGAAAA